CUAUACAUGCAGUCGAGCGAGCUGAAUUCAAAGAUCCCUUCGGGGUGAUUUGUUGGAUGCUAGCGGCGGAUGGGUGAGUAACACGUGGGCAAUCUGCCCUAAAGACUGGGAUACCACUUGGAAACAGGUGCUAAUACCGGAUAACAACAUGAAUCGCAUGAUUCAAGUUUGAAAGGCGGCGCAAGCUGUCACUUUAGGAUGAGCCCGCGGCGCAUUAGCUAGUUGGUGGGGUAAAGGCCUACCAAGGCAAUGAUGCGUAGCCGAGUUGAGAGACUGAUCGGCCACAUUGGGACUGAGACACGGCCCAAACUCCUACGGGAGGCAGCAGUAGGGAAUCUUCCACAAUGGACGCAAGUCUGAUGGAGCAACGCCGCGUGAGUGAAGAAGGUCUUCGGAUCGUAAAGCUCUGUUGUUGGUGAAGAAGGAUAGAGGCAGUAACUGGUCUUUAUUUGACGGUAAUCAACCAGAAAG
rnacentral:rRNA from 1 species